AAAACCGGGAGACUUGCCCAGGUGGGAGAGUUGAACCACUUUUCAAAAUUGUAGUUGAAUUUAUCGCGAACGAAACGUCAAUGCGUUCACUGGUCGCACUCAAGAGGCCAAUCAUAAGUAUGCAGCCAUUUUGCAUCUUAGUGGUAUAGUUCGUCAGUGACAAUGUAAAACGUGUUUUUGUUGCUGCGGAGUGUAUUUUCUUGUUUUAAGUAGUUUUGUGAUUGCUGUCAUAUUUAUUGAGUGCCAACUUGUACGAUGGCUUUUCAGUACAAGCCUCCUGAAAAUGCUCGCAAACGAAAAAAAAACACAAAAAUGGAAUUGCAAAAUGCCAUAGAUGAAAUUAAGGGAGGCGCUUCUAUUCGACAAACUUAAAAUAAAUAUGGCAUAGAUAGAACUACUAUAUAAAUUAGAUGAAGAUAAAAUUAAUAAAUUUGAAGAAAAAAACAGUCAAUAUAAAGCAUCACAGGUGUUUACAACGGCCGAGGAAAAGCUUCUUGUCAAUUAUUUGUUGACAUGCAGUAAAAUGCAUUAUGGUUUGACAAGAAAACAAUCAAUGCAGUUGGUUUUUGAAUAUGCGACAGUGAAUUCAAAGAAGUUUCCUGAGAGCUGGACGAAGAACAACUCCGCUGGGAAAGAUUGGUUUCGAGGCUUUCUUUCCCGAAAUCCAGAAAUAAGUUUAAGAACCCCCGAAGCCACCAGCUUGUCUCGGUCAACCAGCUUUAAUAAAAAAAAAUGUGGAAGAUUUUUUCACAAAUUUUAGGACAGUUCUUGAUAGAUAUAAGUUGAGGCUCAUAAGGCAAGAUAUUAAAACUAUGAUUGAAGCCGAAAA